rnacentral:lncRNA from 1 species
GGCCCCCAACCGAGCGCCGCCGGCCCUGGGUGCCCCCUCACUUCCACUUUUCUCCCCGGAACACCUGCCUUCACGCGGCCCCUGGAGGUCCCCGGAGUGGAUGGGGGUGGGCUGCUACCCUCGCCGCCCAGAGCCGGGGAUGCCUGCCUGGGGCAUCUCCCAGCUGAACGGGAAGAGGGAUCACGCCCAGUUCUGGGAGCUGAGUACCAGCGUGGACAUGAUGUCGAGGAGGUGUCACCCUCAGAGGACGCAGCAUGUGCAAACUCACGUAGAGUUUGACCAGACAAGACCUGCUGGUGAUUUCCCAGGAUCUUCCUUUCUUAAGACACAGGCUUCUUCCUUAAUGGAAACUAGGAGCUUUUGGGCAGGAACUUCUAAAUUCCUGGUGGCCGCACAUCUAACUGUAACUACAGCACUGCCACUCCUGCCUGCUGCAGAUGCUGCUGUGUCCUCUGCGGGGAACACCUCUGAUGGUGUCGGGAGUCUGCUCUCUCAAUCCUCUGGUCUUCAGCCUCUUCCUCCCUACUGCAGCCCUGAAGAUAGCUGAGGACAUCCUCUUCUGGUUUCCUUGUCACAGUUUCCUGUUUUUCCCUAACCUUCCUUUUAGUGCCUUUUCCAUGUCUUUACUGCCUCAUUUUCCUUUCAAUUUUGAAACGCCUUGGGAGUCUAUCCUAGGUAUCCCUCUUCACUUUUCACCACACUCUAUCUCAAAAGAUUUCAAUCCAUUCUUGUGGCUUAAUUUGCCAUCUAUCAAUAUAUGCUGAUAGCUUUUUAAAUAAUUUUGUAUUUAUGUCUAUAAAAAUGAAACAUGGUCAUGUAACAAAUCAAAAUAUUAAAGUUUAUGAAGAAAAUUCUGUGCUCUCUUCCUUACUCAUACAUAGCCCCACACAUGGGAAGUGCCCUCUUUUGACCAUUGCUAUCCUUAUUUCUGUUAUCUUCAUAACUCCAGGUAGUAG